rnacentral:piRNA from 1 species
UAAUGGGCUUAACUGGCGUAUGUAGA